AACUACACACAAUACUCUCUCCCAUUCCUCCUUCUUCUUCUCUUCUAGUCUAAGAGCGCAAAAUGUUAAUUACUCUCUUUCUCUCUCAUCUAAUCAUCAUAAUCAUCCAUGUUCCUCUUUUCUCAGUCUUCUUCUUCUUCUUCUUCAUAGUCUCUCCCUUCUUGUAAUCACUGAUCAUGGUGGCGGCUACGUUUGAUGGAUUCUCCAUAAGGGUUUCCAGCCUCGAGGCUGAUUCGGAUUGGUUGGAGAUGGAAAAUUCCAAUUUGACGCAGUGUGUUUGAGUUGCUGUCAAAGUUUGGCCUCUGAUUACGUCGGAGCUUAUGCUUGGAUGCACCGAUUGCAUCUCCAUGGUUCCCGGUGAACCUCAGGUGUUGGCUAUGUCCAAGGCCGACAUGAUAGGAAGUGCAAACUAAUCGGAGUUUAGUUAUUAUGGAUUUCGUUCGUUCCCGCUCUCAAUUAUCAAACCUCAAAAUCGGAGGCUGAGCUGAGAAUGAGAUGAUACUCGGUUACUUGAUCGACUAAAUGAGGUAAGAAAUGUAUACAUUGAUGUUUUGCUAGUUUCAUAAAAAUUGGAGAAUCAUCUGGGAAACAUGGCUCAUUUUGAAAAAGAUGAGGUACCAAUGAUGUCAGAAACACAUGCUCAACUAUCUGAUGAAGUUGUGGAUUCUAAUUUCCGAAGGCUUGUAUCUAGGACACGAAGUGCUUCAAUUUCUAUUCCUAUGGCCUCCUUGGAAUCAUAUGAGAAAGAAACUAGUCUUGUGGGACAUACUGGUCCACUUCAUAGUGUGAGAAAAACCCCCUCUGUGCAGAUCAGUGGUCCACUGUAUGCUACCAAUGGAACUGGAAAUCUUUCACGACAGAAUAUAGUUGCAACACGAACCAAAGUAAUGGAGAGCAAGACAGAAAAGUUUUCUACUUUCAAUGGCACAGAUGAAAAUCGUUGGGAUAACGACUACAAUAGAAAGAAUUAGCACUUAAUGAGGUAUGGGCAACUUGGAGUGUGUAAUGAUCCUUAUUGUACUACUUGCCCCACUUAUUUCAAGGCUUCUCAGCCAAGAACCCGAAGAACUUCAGCUAUAUUUGAUCCCAAGGAACCGUGAAGAUGCAUCAGUUAGGCCCAAGAGGAAGAGCAGUGCUCCUUCAUACCUGAAGGACUACAUAUAAGCUUUGCUGACGUGGCAUUAGUGCCAAGGGCUUGUCUGCCAAUUCACACUACUUUUCACCAUUCUGUUAUGCCCUAUAUGCACAGAAUUACUAUAAAUAGUAUCUCAUUGUAAUAAGGCAUAUAUGAAUUCAAUACAAUAGUUUCCUUUCCUUCUUUCUUAUUCUUGGGAGGAGCUGGACCCUCAAAACCAGUAUUCAUCGUGUUCUUCGUGUUCUUAGCAUUUCUACUUGAUCUUGCGACCUUUUCAAUUUCCUUUUGUAAGUUUUUUUGAUUUUAUAAGUCUUUUUUGCUUCUUUACAGUUUAGAUUGGUUAUGUUUCUCCUGAGUCAAGGGUAGUAGGUGCUGGAGAUUUAGUUGAUCAUCCCAAGAAAAUUGCUAUUAAUUAUCUGAAGGGUUAUUUUUUCAUUGACCUAUUUGUUGUAUUGCCUCUACCUCAGGUAAAUUCUUACCAUCUCCCUUUUUUGCUUUGUGGAAACUUUCUUUAUAUAAUUUCCUUGGCUGAGUUUGCUCAUCGUAACUUGGUAUUUUGGGUAUUCACUUUUAUGUGCCACAAAGCACAAAGUUUAUGAUGUGAAUUAUGAGACGUUCCAGUCUUACAAUUGAACAUGAAUGCUUAUCGGUAUUUUCUCUCUACUCAUAUUGUGUGAUAUCUGUUCGGUUAAAUUUUCAGUGGCUUUGUAUCUUUGAUUUACUAGAAAAUAAGGAGGUCUUUGAUGUUGCCAUAUGAAGUUGAGUUUUUUCUUGUUUCUUUCAAAAUAUCAGUUUUUAGUUGUGAUAUUCUUAUUCAAAAUAAAUAAGGAUUUCUUGUGAUGAGCUAUUAAGUUUUCUAUAAUAUGACUAUUGUAGUUGCUAUUGUCAAGUGCCUUCACAUAAAUAGUUUUCAUCUCUCACAAACUCUGCAUGCGAAAACUCUUUCUCCUUGAAGCAUACAAAUGCCAAAGGCCCACUUAUUUUGUAAUCAAUUUGAAAUUAAUUUAGAACAUGAGAGAAUUGGGGAUUUGUCCUCUACAAUUAGUCAUAAAGGCUAUGGUACCUUGUUACCAACCAAUUAGCAAACCAUUCACCCCCAAAUUGUUACAAGCUUCGACCUAUGUGCAUGAAUUGUGUGCCAUCACAACUGCCGUUAAGAAGUGGAGACAAUACCUUCUUGGCCAUCAAUUCAUGAUCUUGACUGAUCACAGAAGUCUUAAGGAGCUCAUGACUCAGAUUGUUCAAACUCCAGAGCAGCAAAUGUAUUUUGCCAGGCUUAUGGGGUAUGACUACUCCAUUCAAUAUCGGUCCGGGAGCACUAAUUUGGUAGCUGAUGCCUUAUCGCGCUUGAAGGAGGGAUCAGAAGGAACCAUGUUAUUACUAUCUGUACCUUGCCUGACAUUUUUAGAUGAAUUGAAGAAGCAAUUAAAACAAGAACCAGCCUUUAUCGAAUUCAGGAAGAAUAUAUUGGCCCAACCCACAGCCUUCCCUGAAUAUUCUAUUACUCGUGGAUUGAUUUUGUAGGGGAAUCGUAUUUGGUUACUAGAGGAUAUCCCCUUCAUUCAGACUCUGUUAAUGGAGUAUCAUUCUACUCCAACAGGGGGUCACAUGGGGGUCACGAAGAUAUUAGCAAGGCUCACUGAGAAUUUCUAUUGGCCUUGUAUAAGAAAAGAUGUGAAAUAAUUCGUUGCAUCUUGUGUGGAUUGUCAACACACCAAGUACGAAACUAAGAAGACUGUCAGACUUCUAUGUCCACUUUCGAUACCCUCAAGGCCAUGGGAGGACCUCUCGUUAGAUUUCAUUACGGGGUUGCCACCCUUUCGCGGGAACACCACUAUCCUAGUGGUCGUAGAUCAUUUCUCCAAGGGGAUACAUUUGGGAAUGUUACCCACGCAGCAUUCUGCUCAUUCAGUCGCCGUCUUGUUCAUGGAGAUUGUCGGAAAACUCCAUGGCAUGCCACGGAGAUUGAUUUCCGAUCGCGACCCGCUAUUCAUCAGUAGCUUUUGGUAGGAUUUAUUCCGCUUGAGUGGCACGAAGCUUCGAAUGAGCUCCGCUUACCACCCCCAAACAGAUGGGCAAACGGAGGUUAUACACCGCGUUAUCGAGUAAUAUCUACGCGCCUUUGUUCAUCAGAAUCCUUCGUCAUGGGGCAAGCUGUUAAUUUGGGCUGAGUGGUCCUAUAAUACGACCCAACACUCAGGUUCCGGUGUCUCACCGUUUGAGGUCACAUAUGGACGGAAACCACCUAAUUGGCUGCAGUACUUCACAGGUUCUUCAAAGAUGGAAGCCGUGGAUACCUUACUCUCCGAUCGAGAGUGUGGUUUCAUUGCCUUGAGGAAGAAAUUGCAUAAGGCUCAAGAAAUUAUGAAGCUGACAGCAGACAAGAAGCGUAGAGAGGUGCAGUUCCAUGUCGGUGAUAUGGUUAUGGUUCGUCUCCGGCCACGUCGUCAAGUCACCAUUACAGGCCAACACCAGAGAUCCCCCAAGCUCAAUAAAUGAUACUAUGAACCAUUUUCGGUACUUGAGAAGAUUGGGCCUGUUGCGUAUAAGCUGAAACUCCCUGAAGAUGCACGUAUCCACCCCGUAUUUCACUGCUCCAUGCUCAAGCCAUUCCACUCACCUGUCUUAGCUAAUACUUCUCCCACCCUUGCAUUACCUUCGCUGAUUGUUAACAACGAGCCUGUGAUCUCUCCGACGGCCAUUGUGGGCACCCGUUAUACCUCUAAUUCUGAAACACCUAAGUUACAGGUGCUGGUACAAUGGGAAGGUUUGCUUCCCGAAGAUACCACUUGGGAAGAUUGGGAGCAACAUCAAGAUAACUGCCACCUUAAGGGCAAGGUGAUUCUUGAAGGCCCAGGGGAUGAUAGGAAUCGUGAAGAUGCAUCAGCUAGGCCGAAGAGGAAGAGCAGUGCUCGUUCAUACCUGAAGGACUACAUAUAAGCUUUGCUUUGCUGACGUGGCAUUAGUGCCAAGGGCUUGUCUGCCAAUUCACACUACUUUUCACCAUUCUGUUAUGCCCUGUAUGCAGAGAAUUACAAAUUUUGUUAGCAAUAUCACUAUAAAUAGUAUUUCAUUGUAAUAAGGCAGAUAUGAAUUCAAUACAAUAGUUUCCUUUCCUUCUUUCUUAUUCUUGGGAGGAGUUGGACCCUCGAAACCAGUAUUCAUCGUGUUCUUCCUGUUCUUAGCAUUUAUACUUGAUCUUGCGACCUUUUCAAUUUCCUUUUGUAAGUUUUUUUGAUUUUAUAAGUCUUUUUUGCUUCUUUAUAGUUUAGAUUGGUUAUGUUUCUCCUGAGUCAAGGGUAGUAGGUGCUGGAGAUUUAGUUGAUCAUCCCAAGAAAAUUGCUCUUAAUUAUCUGAAGGGUUAUUUUUUCAUUGACCUAUUUGUUGUAUUGCCUCUACCUCAGAUAAUGAUAUCAUUUGUCCUACGAAAGUACUUGGGAAUAUC